UUUGCCAAAAUAGGCUUGUCAAAAAAAAAGACUCAUCUCAAAAAUUAAAUAAAUGUCAUAAGUGUCUAUCUUAAUCCGGUUUAACGGCUUUCAAAUAGAAAUCCUUCAAUAUAUAAUUUUGUGUCAAAAUUCUGCAGAAUUCUCACGACUUAUGAUUUGGUGUUACAGAAAACGCUUCAGAAACUCCUUUAUAGUCGUAAGCAUUUUGGUUAAAAUGGAUUGAUGUGGUUGGUGGUUUAAAUACCCUUAUCUUGUUAAAAAGGUCAUCAUAAAUAAACCAAACACAAAUUUCAAUUUACCAUCAGGCCAAAAACAACAACCGCCAAUGAACGAAUCAAGUCAAUAUUGACAAAGGUAACCAAAUAUCGACAAAAAAAAACAACAACGAACAAACGAUGACACCAUCCAUCCAACAAAUCGGCACUAACCCAACCCAACCCAUCCCAACCCAAGAAGCCCAACUGAGAGGGAAUAACAACAACAACGGCUAAAAAUUGUUUUGAAAUUUAUCUGAUCAAUGAAUGAAUUAUAAAUUGUCAACCAUCUUCUGAGACCCAAAACUAUUACCAACAAAAUAUGUAUUCACCUACAAAGUAGAAAAUCAAUAUCGUCAACUUCUCCCUA